rnacentral:rRNA from 1 species
GGGGAAUAUUGCACAAUGGGCGCAAGCCUGAUGCAGCCAUGCCGCGUGUGUGAAGAAGGCCUUCGGGUUGUAAAGCACUUUCAGCGGGGAGGAAGGCGAUAAGGUUAAUAACCUUGUCGAUUGACGUUACCCGCAGAAGAAGCACCGGCUAACUCCGUGCCAGCAGCCGCGGUAAUACGGAGGGUGCAAGCGUUAAUCGGAAUUACUGGGCGUAAAGCGCACGCAGGCGGUCUGUCAAGUCGGAUGUGAAAUCCCCGGGCUCAACCUGGGAACUGCAUUCGAAACUGGCAGGCUAGAGUCUUGUAGAGGGGGGUAGAAUUCCAGGUGUAGCGGUGAAAUGCGUAGAGAUCUGGAGGAAUACCGGUGGCGAAGGCGGCCCC